AUCUCAGUACAACUGUCCAAAUAGAAGCCUGAGGGAUCACCGAGACCCUGAAUGUAAACAGGAAAAACCACCUCCUGACAGAGCCUGCAAUAGAUAAACAGCCUCCCUGAGAUCUCCCCCAUCUCCUCUCUGCUCUGGCCUCCCAGUGUCUAUUCUAGUGUCCAAACUGAACAAUGUCAGAAGCUCUCCUUGCUGGAAGCUGGACCAUACACAGAUAUCAGGAUGUACGAACACAGCCAUGCGACCUUUAGGAAACACCAACAAUGGGCUGAGAUGCUGUGCUGGGAAAAGUCACAGCACUUC